GAUGAACGCUGACAGAAUGCUUAACACAUGCAAGUCUACUUGAUUCUACUUCGGUAGUUGAUGGUGGCGGACGGGUGAGUAACGCGUAAAGAAUCUGCCCUUUAGUUCGGGAUAACCUUUGAAAACGAAGGAUAAUACCGGAUAUUAUGGAGACGUCGCAUGACGAUUUCAUGAAAGCUAUAUGCGCUAGAGGAGGACUUUGCGUCCCAUUAGUUAGUUGGUGAGGUAAUGGCUCACCAAGACCGCGAUGGGUAGCCGGCCUGAGAGGGUGAUCGGCCACAAGGGAACUGAGACACGGUCCUUACUCCUACGGGAGGCAGCAGUGGGGAAUAUUGGACAAUGGGCCACAAGCCUGAUCCAGCAAUUCUGUGUGCACGAUGAAGGUCUUCGGAUUGUAAAGUGCUUUCAGUAGGGAAGAAAAAAAUGACGGUACCUACAGAAGAAGCGACGGCUAAAUAUGUGCCAGCAGCCGCUGUAACAC
rnacentral:rRNA from 1 species